GUGAUAUUCUGUGAUGAUGGAUGAUCUUACGGAGCAUUGGCGACCUCUUUGAUUAUCUGAAACAGAGGAAUCUCCUAUUCGCUUUUGAUACUACGAAAUGCUUCAUGUUUAAGCUUUUGACUGUGAAGUUUUAUAAUAAGGAGGCGUUCAAAAGGAUGAUGAAGAAUUUAUGGCAUCCUUUACGAUUUAUGACAUGGGGGAAAACUUAUUUUUGGUAGCUUGCUCUACACAAGGUGAAAAAGAGCGGAUACUAUCAAACGAACCCUGGAGUUUUGGAAAUAGUCUGGUCAUAUGCACUGAUUAUGAUGGGAAUUUACAGAUAACUAAAGUACCUAUGUUAUUUGCUUCUUUCUGGAUGCGCAUUUAUGAUUUACCAUUGGAUGUGAUGAAUGCACGGGCAGUUCGGAAAAUUUCAGAAACUAAGGUGAUAUUCUUGAUGUUGAUCUCAUUGAGUCAAGGCCUAGCUUGGGGGAAUUUGUUCGUGUACACAUAUCUAUGGAUAUCCGUAAACCUUUGCUGCUUGAUAAACUAGUUCCGGUGGGAGAUUCAGAUUAUGUUUGGGUCCGUCUUAAAUUUGAAUGGCUGCCACAAUUCUACUAUUAUUGUGGGUUACUGGGACAUGGCGAGCGUGAUUGCCUGCAAUGGAUCAAUUCUAAAGGUGAUGCUGGAGAAUCUAAGUUUCCUUAUGGCUCAUGGUUGCAGGUGGGGGAGUGCUUCUGUGAGAGCAUGAAAUGAUCAUAUGAACUUGUCUACUGAAGGAGGCCUCAGACAUUCUUCUUCUGUUGGUGCUGAUCAAAUCUUUUUGCCAGCGACAGAUCUGAUGGUAGUUCUUGUUUCUCCAUCACAACCGUUGACAGUUGUAAACAAUAAUCUUUUGUGUAAAACUGCUAAGGGGGUGGUUAAUAAUCUAACUGUUGGGAAAACUGAUGGGCCUAGCAUGGGCUUCGAGCCCAAUUCUAAUUUAACUCAACAGAUUUCAUUGCCAAUGUCGUAGACCCACUCAAAACUAGCAUCUUCUUCUUCUCAUAAGGAAAAAUAGAGCAUCUCAAGGGCAGAUCGUUCCCGUCGUGUACGGCUGUCUCGACCUCUGCUAACUCCUUCAAAGCGACAGUUGAAUGCGAAGGUCUUAGGAGAUUCAGGUACAUUGCUUCACUUGAAGAAGUAAAAAUCUGUUGGAGAUGUUUCUCUAGUGGAUGUCCAUAUCACAUGACGGAGGCUGAGAUUCAGCCCGCCGACAACCAUGAAAAUCAUGAACUAGAACUCCCAGGGGCUUGGGAACUCUCAGGGAGUUCAAACCCUCCGAGACCUAGUUCAGAGAGAAGAUCCUGAUAUUGUCUUCGUUAUGGAGACAUGUUCUGGUUAUUCUCGUAUAGAGGUCCUAAAGUUUCAAUUGGGAUUUUCUUGUUUCUUAACGGUGGGUAGCAUUGGGCGGAGUGGUGGACUAUGCCUCUUUUGGCAUUGGGAGGUAAAUCUUGUUUUACAUUCUUAUUCUCAAUUUCAUUUUGAUGUGUUUGUUUCGGACCCAAUCGCUGGAGUUUCUUGGCAUUUGUCUGCAAUUAAUGGGCAUCCGGAGAUGAAUCUUAGAAGGAAUACUUAGGCCUUGUUACGUUUAUUGAAAGAUCAAUUUAAUGGGUCAUGGUUAUGUUGUGGGGAUUUUAAUGAGAUUUUGGGAAUUUCUGAGAAAUUGGGUGGUCAAGAGAGGCUUGCUAGUCAGAUGAGGGGUUUUCGGGAUGCUUUGGAUUACUGUCAAUUACGUAGUCUACCUGCUGUAAGGCCUUUGUUUAUAUGGAGUAAUUUGAAGGAGGGGUCUACUCUUGUUCAUGAAAGGUUAUAUAGAUUUGGUAGUAAUGUGGAUUGGCUUGAAUUAUACCCCUAUUGUAGAGUUUCCAAUCUUAUUACCCCAGUUUCACAUCAUAAUUGCUUGAUUUUGAGCACGGAUGCUUUAGUGCAAACUGUCUCCAAGAAAUCUUGCUUGUUUAAGUUUGAAUCCAUGUGGAUGGGAGAAAGGAGUUGUGAGGAAUCUAUUGCAAGUGCUUGGUCUUUAAACUUUAAUGCCUCAUUUAUUGAUAAAAUAAAGUAGUGCCAUAGUAAUUUGACAAUAUGGAGUAAGCAAUUUUUUGGCAAUGUUAGACAUAAACUGGCUAUAAAAAGAAAGGAAUUGGAAUAGUUAUAGGAUGUAUCUUAUCCCUCUUACCCAUUGCAUGAAAUAAGUUGUGCUAAACAUGAUAUUAAUUAUCUUUUGGAGAAGGAAGAAUUAAUGUGGAAGCAAAGGUCCCAUGUGCAAUGGUUGGCUGAUAGGGAUCAAAAUACUAAGUUCUUCUAUUUUAAGGCUUCUCAAAGACAGAGACGCAAUUUUAUUUCCAGGCUAAGGAAUGAAAAGGGUGUUAUGCAUGAAGGAUCUAAAAUGCUUCCACUGUUACAUGACUAUUUUUCAACUUUGUUUUGUACAACUAGUCCUUCUAAUUUUGAUGCAGUUUUUCAGCUUGUCUAACCGUGCAUUUCUGAGUCUAUGAAUGGUGAUCUGAUGCGUGUGUUCACAGCAGUUGAGAUAAAGGCAGCUUUGUUUCAGAUGGAACCAUUGAAAGCUCCAGGCCCAUAUGGUGUAAUGCUUCUUGAUUGAAAUCUUACACAUAUUGUGUUGAUUACGAAGACCAAAUAGCCUGAGUAUCUAAAGGACUAUCGACCCAUUAGCUUAUGUAAUGUGGUCUAUAAAGUUAUUGCAAAUGUAUUAUCUAAUAGGCUGAAAUUAGUUCUACCAGGUGUUAUUUCUAAAAACCAAUCAACUUUUUUCCAUGGAAGGCUGAUUACUGAUAAUGUUAUUAUGGAUUUUGAAACUGUGGAUGCUAUUAGAAGGAGGAAAUGUGGGAAGAAGGGUUGUAGGUCUAUUAAAUUGGACAUGAGUAAAGCUUAUGAUCGGGUUGAAUGAGUUUUUUCUGGAAAAAAUAAUGUUGUGUAUGGGGUUUCAUUCUCAAUUCAUUCACUUAAUAAUGAUGUGUAUUGCUCCAAUUUCAUACAAAGUACUUGUGAAUGGAUUCACCACUCAGCCUAUUAAGCCCAACUGGGUUACGUCAAGGGUGCCCUCUCUCUCCCUAUUUUUUAUGUGCUGAGGCUCUAUCUUUGUUACUGAAGCAAGCUGAAGAGCAACACCACUUGAGGGGUAUUAGUGUGUGUCAUAAUGCUUCCCGGGUUAGUCACCUAUUCUUUGCAGACGAUAGUAUUAUUUUCUGCCAAGCUUCUAUUUCAGAAAAUUAGUAUAUAAAAAAUUUGGUAUGUAGUUAUGGUGUGGCAUCAAGACAACAGCUAAAUAUGGGGAAAACAUAACUUCUUUUUAGUUGUAACACAGAGCCAACCAUUCAAACUGCUAUUCAAGGUGUGUGGGGUGUUCAGGAUAUUCAGCACCAUGCUAAACAUCUUGGUUUGCCUUCUUUGGUUGGAAAAUCAUGUUUCCAGACCUUUAAAAAAUUAAAAAACAAAUUUUGGGCAAAGUUGCAAGGGUGGAAAGAAAAGUUAUUGUCACAAGAUGGUCGAGAGGUGUUGAUUAAAGCUAUAGUCCAGACAAUACCCACUUAUACAAUGAGUUGUUUCAAACUUCCAAAGGGUUUUUGUAAGGAUCUCGAGGGGAUGUUUGCACGGUUUUGGUGGGGGCAAAGGGGUCAAGAAAGAAGGAUUCAUUGGUUGAAAUGGAGUAACAUGUGUCAGUCCAAAUUCAAUGGUGGUUUGGGUUCUCAGGAUUUGGAAACGUUUAAUGUAGCAUUAUUGGCUAAGCAAGGGUGGCGCUUACUUCAAUCUCAAGGGUCUCUUUUUGCAUUAGUGUUUAAAGCAAAAUAUUUUCCCAACUCUGAUUUUUUUAUCUUCGAUGCUUGGCUUCAAGCCAUCUUAUGUAUGGCGUAGCAUAUAUGAAGCAAAGUCUAUGAUCAAAGCUGGAAGUUUAUGGCGUAUUGGUAGGGGUGAUAAAAUCAAGAUUUGGACAGAUAAUUAGCUUGCUGAUUCAAAUUCAAGGAAGGUUAUUACUUGUUGUAAUACCCUUGUUGAGGAUGCUUGUGUAGCUGAUUUAUUGGAUGCUUCUUCUCCUAGUGGGUGGAAUAUUGGCUUGGUAAAAUAGGUAUUCCUUCCUUUUGAGGCUAAUACUAUUCUCAAAACUCUUUUAUUAGUACAUUGGGGUGAUGAUAAAUUAGUGUGGAGUGGCACUGAAAUUGGCAUUUUCACUACAAAUUCAGCAUACUAUCUUGCUCUUAACUUGAAAAUUGCUUUGGAGAGUGGUUCUAGUAAUCAAGAUUUGUCUUUCUCUUCUUUUUGGAAGGUUUUGUGGAAUUUACAGCUUCUACCUAAGAUAAAAAAAAAUUAUUUGGAGGGCUUGUAAGGGUAGUUUGCCUACAAAGAAGCUUUUAUUCCAACGGGAUAUUCUGGUUUCUUCCAAAUGUGAAUUUUGUCAUGGUGAUUGUGAAGAUGUUUUCAACAUUUUAUGUAAGUGUCCUUACUUUCUUAGAGUGUGGGAAAUGUCUUUUGGAAGAGAUUUGAGAUUGAUACAUGGAUAUUCUAGGUUUGAUAAUUUUGUCAAAGCAAUUAUGAGGCUUAAUGAUCAUCUUAUUUUGAUCCGCUUCUUGUUAACUGCUUGAGGUGUGUGGAAAUUUCAAAAUCUGAAGUUAUUUCGAUAGACAAACCUUGAGUGUGUGUUGUGGUUGGAAAUUGUUUUAAUUAUGUUGAGAACUACUAGUUAAUUCGAAAGCAUGUCAAUGGUCAUAACAAGCUUUCCACAUUGUGUUGGCUUCCUCCACCAUGUGGGUCUUUUAAGCUAAAUGUAGACGAAGCUAUUUUUAAUUCUUUAAAUAUUAGUGGGGUGGGUACUGUACUGCGGGAUGACAAGGGUUGUAUGGUUAUGGCAUUGUCGAGGAGGGAGUUGGGUAUUUAUGGGGUGGAAGGUAUAUAAGCACUUGCUGCUCUACGGGGCUUGCAAUUAAUUUCUCACUUGGGUAUAUCUUACUUGAUUUUAGAAGGGAACUCACUUGUUGUGAUCGAGGCAAUAUGCUCAAGGGGGGAGGAUCUGAAUCGGUGUAGUAUUUUAAUCCAUGAGGUGAAGAAUAUGCUAUCUAAUUUCCCUUCUUUUGAGGUUUUGCAUGUUGGAAGACAUGGAAAUGAGGUUGCACACACUCUAGCUUGUCAAGCUCAAUUUGUGGAUGAUACUUUGCAGUGGUGGAAUGAUCCUUCAGACUUUCUCCGCAAUAGACUUGAAGUGGAUGUAGCGGGUGUUCAUUGCGAGUUGUUGCUUAUUAGUUGCAUGUAAUUGUCACCAUGAUGAUGAAUUAUGUAUUUGACUACUAUUUCUAUGCAUGAAUGUCCAAGUUUUAUUCUCAAAAUAAAAAAAUAAAAAAGUUAAAAUAUCA